GAUGAACGCCGGCGGUGUGCCUAAUACAUGCAAGUCGUACGCACUGGCCCAACUGAUUGAUGGUGCUUGCACCUGAUUGACGAUGGAUCACCAGUGAGUGGCGGACGGGUGAGUAACACGUAGGUAACCUGCCCCGGAGCGGGGGAUAACAUUUGGAAACAGAUGCUAAUACCGCAUAACAACAAAAACCACAUGGCUUUUGUUUGAAAGAUGGCUUUGGCUAUCACUCUGGGAUGGACCUGCGGUGCAUUAGCUAGUUGGUAAGGUAACGGCUUACCAAGGCAAUGAUGCAUAGCCGAGUUGAGAGACUGAUCGGUCACAAUGGAACUGAGACACGGUCCAU
rnacentral:rRNA from 1 species